rnacentral:rRNA from 1 species
ACGGAAGAAAGAGGGGGACCCGCAAGGGCCUCUCGCGAGCGGAGCGGCCGAUGACUGAUUAGCCGGUUAGUGAGGUAACGGCUCACCAAAGCAACGAUCAGUAGCUGGUCUGAGAGGACGACCAGCCACACUGGGACUGAGACACGGCCCAGACUCCUACGGGAGGCAGCAGUGGGGAAUUUUGGACAAUGGGCGCAAGCCUGAUCCAGCUAUUCCGCGUGUGGGAUGAAGGCCCUCGGGUUGUAAACCACUUUUGUAGAGAACGAAAAGACACCUUCGAAUAAAGGGUGUUGCUGACGGUACUCUAAGAAUAAGCACCGGCUAACUACGUGCCAGCAGCCGCGGUAAUACGUAGGGUGCGAGCGUUAAUCGGAAUUACUGGGCGUAAAGGGUGCGCAGGCGGUUGAGUAAGACAGAUGUGAAAUCCCCGAGCUU